AGGAUGAGAUGGGAGGAUUGCUUGAGGCCAGGAGUUUGAGACCAGUCUGGACCACAGAUCAAGACCCUGUCGCUACUAAAAAAAAAAAGUGAAGGCCUACAGGGAAAGAAACAAUUACCCAGAAGGACACACCUGCUAGAAGGCCUGGCACUUAUUUGGGAGGAUGAACAGAAGUCAUCAGCCCAUGAGAUCUUCAGAGAGUCCAUGACGAUGUUGCACCCUGAGUCACAGGCUAAAUGUCUAGAACAGUCAGAUGCUUGCUGGGAACCCAGAUGAUGUUUCUAAGGAGGAUAUUCAUAUAGGAUAAAAUUUCAACAAAUUGCUUUCAGAAUUCAUGCAAGAAUCUCUCCAAAAAUUGUGCCAGCUGCUCUCUCGUGCUGUAGUAGUUGAAGUCCAGAGUUGAAUCCGCCCAUGUGCUGUGCUUCGGAUCAGAUCUAUAUGCUCUGUGCCUACUGCCUGGAAACAUCUGAGUUUGUGGCCUCUGCUGAAUACAAAUACAGAGACUCGGGUUAGCCCUAGUCAACAGCUUCUCCAUCAUCAGGAGUAUCUGGGAUACUGGCCAUAGAUUGAUGCUGUGAUGGACCACUCCAGGAGACUCGGAGCUUCUUUAGGCUAUGUCUUCCAGGCUUCAUGAAUACCAUGGAAUCCCUUGUACUAAGAUCUAAAGAAGUUUCAAGUGGUCAGCCCUCCAGAGGAGGUUCAUCCAUAUCUGAAUUCCAUUCCUUAUCAUCCCAGGAAAAGUUUGUAUCUUACCCCAAGGUAUUUACCUGUCUGUCGCAGGGGUAAUGAUUUAAAAAUGUAUCAGUUUGCUAUCUUUCUUCUUUUCUCUUUAUCAAUAGCUCUCAAGCUUAGCCUGUGCUAGGCAGCAUCUGUGGGAAUUGAGAGAAGAGCUGGGGAAUAGUAUCAGUUUGCUGCUUUUCUUCUUUUCUCUUUAUCAAUAGCUUUCAAGCUUAGCCCGUGCUAGGCAGCAUCUGUGGGAAUUGAGAGAAGGGCUGGGGAAUGGGAUAUUUUACAAAAGAAAAAUGCUAAGGAAAGAGAAGGACAUAGUCAGAUUUUGGUAUUCAAAAGCAGAUUAGUUCUUGAGACAAUAAAUAGGCUUGCAAACCAAGAUAUGGUACUGAAAGGAAGUUUCUAUUUCCUUCAUGCCCUCAGUUGAGAAUAUCAACAUCAUUCAAAUCAGACUGGAUGGAUCACGCAUCCUCCCAGGUGUGAAAAGGAUGCCCUGUCUGCUCACGCCAGCCUGUACCCUCUGAGAGGGGGAGAAGAGAGUGUAUAGGAGAAUUAAGAGAGCAUUGCCUCCAUUUGCUGGUCCUAUAAUAGUGUGGGAGAAUGGAGGCAUUGAGAUCUGUGCCACUCAUUUUUUCUUCUCUGGGUUUAGGCCUGGGGAGAAACAGACGUGUUGGGUGAAUGAAGAUAACACCAGAAGGAGUAGGGUCUGAUUGAUCCUUGUUUUCCUGUCACACAGCCAGAGGGUAUAAUAUUGAGUUGUUAGCACCGAGAAGUCAGAGGUUUAGCUUUUCUGGGAUGCCCUAAUUCCUUUGUCAGGAAGUCACUGAAUUGAGAGCCAGUGGGCCUGGGAAGAGGGCUGGUAGAGCAGUGCAAGGUGACCCUCCACUGAGGACGUGGCAAGAGACUUGUGGGUCUGCAGCCUGUAGGAGUCAAACGAUGGUGAGUCAGCAGAGAAACACUGUUUGGACCAGGAGGAUGAGUCUGAGUUACAUUCACUUUGGUGUGUAAGGCCAGCAGGACUCAGGCACCCCAGGAAGACUCAGGCCAUUGUCCUAGGUCAGCCAAUGCACACAGUAUCCCAGUACAAGGUCAGUGGACCCCUUGUUCUCACUGAGAACUCUCAUACACUAGAAUGCCAAGUUAGAGAGAGAGGCAGAGGCAACCUGGGAUCCUGAGCAUCCUUUCUUAGAGAGACUGAACACUGUUUUAAGGAGCCAUUAAAAUUACUGACUCAGAUUAUAUCUAAAGCAAAUUGAACAGAAGUUAGGAACUUGCAAGAAAUAUGUUAAUCAUAGACUAUAUGGACAAUGUUUCAUCCACUUUGCAAAUGUGAGUUAAAGUGUGAAUUAAAAUUUUUUGACUCUGCUCCAUGUAUAGGCAGAUGGAAAGAAUCUGAUCCUUCCUCAAAGAAGUCAGAAAAUUUUUAGGUAGGGGAAUUAUAUGAACCUUCCAAGUCAGAAGACUGUCAUUAAGAAAAUUAUCUCUUUUAUUUAGUCCACAAAAUGGUACAAGCCAGUCAUGAAAUGUUUCAGCACUUUAUAAAACCAGCCUCUGCCUCUUCAUCCUCCUCUUUUAUUUAAAUCACAAAAUUAAUGGAUUCCUUUAUUUUUGCUUACUUACCAUAUACCUUUGCUUCCUUCUGUAUUCCUUUCCCUUCUUCCUAUAAAACGUCUUUCAAAUAGCUUCCAUGUCGGUAUAUUUUCAGACAUCUUACAUAUCUGAAAAUGCCUUUAUUGUAUCUUCACUGUUAAAUGCUAGCAUUAUAAGAUCUAAUACUCCGGGGUUAAUGAACUUUGUUUUCAGCAGUUUGAAGGUAGUAGCACAUUGUAUUCAUUUAUCCUGUGCAGCUGAGAAGUCUCACAUAAAUUUCAGAAUUUUCUUGAAGGGGAUUUUCUUCUCUUGUGCCCUUCAGAAGGCUUUGUCUUUAAAACUUUUUUUUAAUCAUAAUGAGUCUCAGAAAUGACUUUGUUCUCUCAAGCCUCCUUGCUGUCUAAACUUUUUCAGUCUGCAGUCCUGGGUCUUUCUUUAGUUCUGAGAAACCCUCAUUAGCCAUUUCUUCACAUAAUUUCUCCUUUCUCUUAUUUUCUCUUUUGUGGACUCUUCUGUUCUUUAUAUCACUUAUUCAUAUUUUUUUCUCUUUGAAUAUCUUUGUCCUUUCUGACGUUUUCUGGGAGAGUUCCUCAACCCAAUCAUUCUGCCCACCAAUUUAUCAUUUAACUUUGUCCACUGUGCUGUUAAUUUCUUCUAUUGAGUUUUUAUUUCAAUGCAAUAUUUCAUAUCGAAUUUUUCAGACUGUUUUUAUUUUAUCAUUUAUCUGGUUCCUGCUUUAUGUGUCCAGCAUUUUGCUUGUUUUGUGUUCUGACAGUUGUGUAUAUUAUUCUACUUGUUUUAAAUUCCUGUUGCAUUAUUCUUUUAUAUAUAUAUUUUGUUCUGUUAGUUGACUUGUGCUUUAUAAAUAGUCUGAUUUGGCCUGAUUGUCUUGCCGCCUUCUGCUCAGGACUGUGGCCCCACAGGCUAAGAAUUUCACUCCGUUGUGGGCUCGCUGGUCCCAGUGCACAGAAUGGGAGAUUAGGCACUAAGACAUUCAAGUGGAGUCUCCUGUUGUUGGUGGAUAGUCCCACUGAGAACACGUUUACCUGCUACACACCUGGUCUGUCAGAAAUGACCAGGGUAUGGCUAAUUUAGUGUGAAGUUCUUUUGAGUUAGAAAAAAUAAAUUUAGAACAUGGUUGCUUUGCUAAUUCCCAUGGAAGAGUUGUUUGUAGGGUGGAAUAUGCAGCAUUAGUACAAUGAAGGAAAAUAACUGUAAAAUCAAAAAGUAAGCCAAAGCUAAUAUUUUCAAUAAGAUGAAUAAACAAAAAGCUUUGAAGCUGAAAUACUUAUGGAUAUUAAAAUGCAAUUUCAUGAAAAGUCUAGAUCUCUAGCUCCAGCUCUUUAUCAAAUAGCUUAAGGAAAAAUACAUACAUUUUAAGUCUGUCACUGCUUUUGCUUCAUAGCUUGUCAGUUUCAUCAACCAAACUGAAACAAAUUUUCUAGAAAACCAUUAUGAACCCAAAGUCAAUAUUCAGUGUCAUCAUUAUCUUCUCUGUCAUCUUCUGCUGAUUAAUUCAGAUACUUUUUCCAAUAAGCCAUGGAUUAAUAUUUUAGUGCAAAUUCUCUUCAAUUACAUCAAAGAGAAAAGCAGGGGGAAAAACAUAUGGGUUAACUGCAGCAAGGGAUCAAUAAUUCUAUCAGUUCUUUUCUGUCAAUUUGAAUGUCUCCCUUCACUUUUUUUUCCCUAUAAUUUUCCUUUUUUCCUAAUUUAUGCUUCACUUUUAAAUAUCUGGCAUUCUUUUCUUUCUUUUCUUAUAGGGUUCUCUUCUAAUACUCCAUCUUCUAUAUACCUACUUUGUAUACCUACUUUAGGAAGAAUUAUUUAAAGUAUUAGUGUAAACUGAGAGAAGACAUAAAGCAAAUAAUUGUUUUAAUAUUAAACAACAUUUUUAUGUAAAUAAAAUGAGUUUAUUCCUGUGCUACUAAAAAUAUUAGGAAUUAAAAGCUCAGUGGAUAUCUACAUUAAAAUCUGAAGAGACCAGAACUGCAUAUAGAGUCAUUAAAAUUAAUAUCCCCAGUUUGAAUUUGAGUGGUAAUUUAAAAUCAUGUUUACCUGUUUGUACACUUUUCUUUCCAAAUAGAAGGUGAAUAGUAUGUUGUCAAAACUGUCUUUUUCAUCUUUAUAUCAUAGGAUUUAAAAGAGUUCCUGACACCUAGCAGAGGUUCAGUACUAUGUUUAAGAUGAAUUAAUGAAUGAAGACAUGGGUUUAGCCAACAAUAUCAUGGCUAACUACGACCUGCCAUAGACUAUCAUUGCGACAUUGUUGUCAAAGUAACAGAACAGACUUUGAAGUUAGAUGCCUUGAGUUUAAAUCCUGGGAUUUUGAUUAACUAGAUGUGUUACUCAUCAAUUGCUGCAUAACAAGUUACCCCAAAUCUUAGUGGCUUAAAACAAUAUUUAUCCCACAGUAAUUUUUUGUGGGUUAAGAAUCCUGGUACAGCUUAUCUGGAUCCUGUCUUAGGCUCUCUCAUAGGCAGGAAUCAACGUGUUAGCCUGAGCUGUCUUCAUCUUAAGAUUCAACUGAAGGUAGAUUUGUUUCCAAGCUCAUUCAUGGUUGUUGACAAGAUUCAGCUUUUUUUUUUGUGUGUGUGUGAGCUGUUGAUUUGAGGGCUUCAUUUUCUUGCUGGCUCUUGGCCAGAUGCCACCUUCAAUUCCAUGCCACAUGCACCUUUCCAUAAAGCAGCUCCCAUUAUGGCAGCUGUCUUCACUGCGGUGAUCAAGCUGGAAGAACUAGAGUAUGAACAAGCUGGAAGUCAGUCUUGUGUAACCUGAUCUCGGAAGUGACAUCCCACUACUUUUGUUGUAUUCUAUUUGUUAGAAGUCAGUCACUAGUUAGAAUGAUAUGGUUUGGCUGUGUCCCCACCUGAAAUCUCAUCUUGAGUUGUAAUCCCUAUAAUCUCCACAUGUCAAGGGAGAGACCAGGUGGAGGUAAUUCAAUCAUGGGCGUGGUUUCCCCUGUGCUGGUGUGAUAGUGAGUGAGUUCUCACGAGAUCUUGUGGUUUUAUAAGGGGCUCUUCCUCCUUCAUGCACCAUGCUCUUUGUUGCCUGCUGCCAUGUAGUAUCUGCCUGUUCUGCCAUGGUUGUAAGUUUCCUGAAGCCUCCUGAGCCCUGCGGAACUGUGAGUCAAUGAAACCUCUUUUCUUUAUAAAUUACCCAGUCGUGGGCAGUUCUUUGUAGUAGUAUGAGAACGGACUAAUACAUUAGUAAAUGUGAAUACCAGGAGGCAGGGAUCGUUGGGGGCUACUUUAGAAGGCUGCCUACCACAAUAGCCAUAUAACCUUGAAAAUUUGCUUAAGCUGUUUUGCUCGGUGUCCUUACCUGUGAAACAGGAAUACUAAUAGAACCCACCUGUUAGGGCUGCUGUGCUAACCAUACUAAGAAUGUAUACGCUAGUGAUAAGCAAAGUGCUACACACAGAGCAAAAUUCAGUAUAAUAAUACUGUGCUAUUAAACCUGUUACUUUUUAGCGAUGUUACCUCUUUUGUAGGUUGAUUCUUUCUUCAUAAAGUGAGAAUUGGAUGAUCUCUGAGUUUCCUUGUAAGCCUGAGGAAUUUACUGAUUUUCUAGCCCUAGGAAUCUAUAAACUUCUUCAUUUUCAAAAAUCUAAACUUUUUUGGACCCCACAUUAGCGUUUUUUCCCCUCACUCUUGUAAUACCUCAUUAGGAUCACAUAGAAAAAAACUGGUAUUUCUGAAGGAGCAAUCCUAUUAAUGUUUGGGACAAAUCAACUGUUGCAGGGGCCCUGCCCUGAGAGCCAAAGGUUUAUGAAUUUUAGUCCCCACUCUGCCUGUUGAAACAAGUUCUUUAACCUCUCCUGUCUCAGUUUGUAUAAUUCAUGGAGGGUGAGUUGGGCUGGAUGAGAUAGCGUUCCUUCUAGCUUUAACAGUCUUUGGACCUGAUUUCCAUUGGCUGCAUAUAUUAGUUUUCAAUUCUCCUUUCCAUGUGUUCCAUAUGUAGUUACUUAGGGCCAAUUUCCUCAGAUUAGUAUUCAGGCAUUUUUAGAACAGUCUCAAUUUCACAAAGAUUAUAGGAUAUAAUUAUAGUUUAUAUGAUUUUAGGAACUAUUACAAGGUAAAGAAAAAUUAUUGUGAUAAUCAGUAAACCUCUAAGAUAUUCUUACAAAGGCCAUUUUUAGAAAAUCACAGCAAAUGAAGUCAGGUGAUUUUAUUUGUAUGCAGCAGGUGAAAAAAAUGCUCCCAAAUGAGGAAAAAUAUUUUGGGACUUUUGGGUUGACUAGAAUUCAAAGUAAAAAAAAUAAAAAAACGGAUUAUUUUCUGUAAUGAUUCAACUCAUUGGAAGUUCUUGAGGUGUCAGUUAUGCCUUCUUAGAAAUAGCUCUAGACAUUUACAAGUUGUUACAAUAAGAUAAGGAAAUGAAUUAAAAAACCUACCAGAUCUUGUGCGUCCAGAGAGGUUCAAUCUCUUCCAAACAAUCAAUUUCUUAGGAUGCUAUUAUUGUUUAAUAUCUUUGAAAUUCCUUUCCUGAAACUACCUGUAGAAUCUGAGGCAUAUGCUUUUGAACAUGCUCACUGAUGAAAACUCUUUUGUCUGUUUCCUGAAAUCAAAUCCACAGUCAAAAAUCAUUUAGAAGUAAGAACAGUAGGUUAAAGGACAGAUCAAACUGGAUAAUACUUUUCAGUGUAUAAAACAGGGAACAACAGCAAGAUGAGAGUGAUUUUCUUACAUUGAGAACUAGCUCCAAAGGUGGUUCAAAAGAGGACUCCUUAAAUUGUUUACAAUGAGGAGUCUACAUAAAACAAAACCAAAAACUCUUUCUGUGUCUUUUGUCAUGUUAAGAGUCACAAACUUACAUGACACUGUUUACCAAUGAAACCUGCAUAUGUACCCCUGAACUUACAAGUUAAAAAAAGAAAAGUCUUACAGUUUGCAGGAUGUGUUACUUGAUUUGAACCUGAAGCAUCUUGGUAGUCAAUUCAAAUUCUGGUUCUACCACUUAGGAGCUGUGUGACAUCGGGAAAGACCUGGUUUCCCAGAGCUUUAUUUUCACUUAUAAUGUGGGAAAUAAUAUGUCACACAGAUGAGAUGAGUGUUAAGUGAGGAUGUGUGAAUAUAUCUCACAAACUGUAAUGGGUGAUACCUAUGAUAGUUAUUAAUGCCAUUUUAUGCAUAAUUUCUUAUCUAAAUUUAAUUAAACUAUAAGCUCAUAAAAUAUUCCUAUAAAACAUGAUAGGAAAAAUAAGGGUGACAUUUUCAGGAUACUUACUGCCAAUCAGGCACCCUACUAAGCUCUUUAUAAUUUUUUACAAGCUCUUCAUAAAUUAUAUCGCAAUUUACUUGUAUAAUUUUAAAUUUAGUCAUGAACAUUCUGAGUUUCCAUUGUAUAGGUGAGAAAACUAAGGUUUAGAGAGUUUAAUUUUGCCAGAGUUAUGAAACUAGCAAAUGAGGGAGCUGAGGUUCAGGUCCAGAUCUGAAUGACUCCCAAACCAAUGUUUUAAAAGCCCUAUGAUACACUGCUUCCAUUUCUGGCAACCAUGUGAAGAGAAAAGGGAUGUACAAGAUUUUGUUAUAUUGCAUCAGUAAUUACCAGAUUUAGUUGCAUAUGAGAAUUACCCUGAAUGUUUAAAAACCAUUGCAACAUCCAGGGCACACCAUAAAUCAAUUAAAUUCCUUGAAGGUUGAAUCCAAACAUUAGCCUUAAGCAAAACAAAAACUGUUCAGGUGAUUCCAACAUACAGCCAAGUUUGAGACUCCAAGUAUUAAGGUCAGUCCCUGAGGCUGACUAGGAUAGUUGUGAUGACUGUGGACUUGGGAGUAAGAUGAUUCUAACUCUUGUUUGACUGCUUGGGAGUUGCACGGUUACGGACAGGCUACUGCCCUUCUCUAAACCUCAAACGAUACUGAAAACAUGUUUGUGGGUAAAAUCAAAUAACCCAAGAAAUGUUCCAGCACACUGCCUGGACCUACAAAGAAGUGCUUGGUGGUAGAAAUACUUUGUAUCUCAAGCUCAUUCUUUGCACAGAUUUUUGGUUGCUUCAUGAAACUUUUAAGCAAGUGAUCUUCUGCCCCUGAAUGAAAGCAAGAGGCUACCAUUGGCUCCUAAAGUCUCUUUUGAAUAAUAAUUUUAUGCCAUUUUUAUUUGGGACGUGUAUUUCUAUAAGUGGUUGACAAUAUUUAGGAACAGAAGCAAUGAAUUGCUUAUCCUGGGAGGUAACCCAAGUCACUUGGUAAUGAGAAUAGUUAUUUGAUGAUUUGACAGUUAAUAUUGGUGUUGUGGAAAUGGCCAUGUACAUAUAUUUAUAGACGUGUUUUUUGUUUUUUGUUUGGUAGAUGUCACCCUUUCUCCUUAUAGCUUGUUUACUUUUCUCACACAGGUGUAGGCAGGCAGCAGGGUCGUUUGAAUUAGUCUUUCAAGUGAGUGUUUAAUGAAGAUGAGUAAUUGCUUGCAGCUGCAUGUAUCUGUAGGGAUUUGUUUUUCUUUUAGUAGAGAACAAGAUAAUUUGCCAGACAACUUUGGAAAGGGUGAUCUUGGUUGUCCCCACAUACUUGAGAGUGACUGCCUCUUGCACCAAAAUGCCAUGAAACUUCCUGCCUCCCUCCAGAAGACACGCCUCCUAGCUGGGGGACAGGCAGCUCAUUUUAUCUUGGAGAAGGUUUCUCCCUUCAAUAUAAAAGGUAAUCAAUGUGGUUUCAAGUGAAGAUUGUAAACGUGAAUGACUCCUUGAGGGUGUGGCACUAUGGCCUGAUCAAUCCCAGAUUUGUUUCCACUUUACCCCUAAUUAAGACUGAAGUUUGAACUGCUGGCAUGGCUGAACGUAGAUUCUGAGAUUUUUUUCACUUAGAAACAGAAUUUUCUAGACUUGAUCUAUGCAGAGACUUGUAGGGGAAAGAACAGGAUUGGCAUCAAAGAUAGGGGUUUAGAAGUCAUAAGUCGGACAUAAGAGAGGCAACCAAGGAACCACAGAGUUGAGUGACUGGACCAAGACCCUUAACCAGUGGCAGGGCUGGGUUCUAAAUGUGUAUCUGAGAUCCUCCAAAGCGUGUUCUUCACUUCACACAAUUCCCUGAAUAUCCUCACCUGUGAGGAGGCAGAAUCAUCCCCUCAUCCCUCAAUGUCUGAAAACCCAUGUACACAUCUUACACAAUGGGUGUAUUCUUGAAGAGUUGUGAGAAAAGUUGCUUUUGUAAAUCAAAUCACAUACCAUGUUUACAAGGAAUAUUAAUAUUUGAAAGGAAUUCAAUCUUAAAUCUUUUUUGAAUUCUUGGUAAAUAUAGGUAUUAUUCAAAGUGAGGCUUCAGUAUAGUUAUAAUCAUCAAACUACUAGCAAAUGUUAUUUUAACAUGUUAGUCCAUAAUAGUCCAAGAUGGAUUAAUUUUUAUUACAAAGUAUGAUUCUUGAUUUUUUUUUUUUUUUUGGUGAAGUUGCGUUUGAUGAGGAAGUGCUAUCAAAUUACAAAAGGAGAAUUGACCAAGCAGGAGAGUUGAGCUCUAUCAAGCCAGCUACUUGUUUUAUCCACUAGAGGGUAGCAUUGGCAUUGGAAUGACACGUAGACAUUUACAGUUCUUCAAAUUGAAAGCGCUGCUUGUGAAAUGCAGACUAUGCCAAAUCUACAAUAUAUUAAAUGAUUUGAUAAAAAAUUAGAUAUCACAGAAAACACCAAGUGAUUGUAAUUGGAUUCUUCUGUAUUACUGGGCAAUGUACACCCUGAAGGACAUUUUUAAGGCCCUGUACCUGUGUCUCCUGGCAGGGGUUACUUCCGGCCUCAAGCCAACCACGUGCCAUUUGGGACUAAGACCUUUCCUUCUCACCUUUCCACCUCAAUUCGUGCUUCACUUCUCCAUUUGCAAAUUGUCAGCAUGCUGGGGAAUCUGUGAAUUACCUUCCCUUUCCUUCAACCUGCAACCAUGCUUACCACAGAAGUUGAUUCUCUUGAGGAAUUCAACACUUGUGACAGGCAUUUCUGCUUAUCCUCAUUAGAAUGCUGUGAGGGGCCUGAGGACUGCCGUCCUCAUGCCCUUUAACAUAGGAAGACAGAGUCCUCAUGUCAUUUCACAUCACCCUUCUGCUUGGUAGUGGAGCUGGGAUUAGAUUCUGGUUGUGUUUUGUGUAACUCAGCACUGACUUGAGUGGUUUCCAGUACUUAGCAGGGACUUCCUAGGUAUAUGACUUUUUUUUUUU